rnacentral:rRNA from 1 species
CCUACGGGAGGCAGCAGUGGGGAAUAUUGGGCAAUGGGCGCAAGCCUGACCCAGCAACGCCGCGUGAAGGAAGAAGGCUUUCGGGUUGUAAACUUCUUUUCUCAGGGACGAAGCAAGUGACGGUACCUGAGGAAUAAGCCACGGCUAACUACGUGCCAGCAGCCGCGGUAAUACGUAGGUGGCAAGCGUUAUCCGGAUUGACUGGGUGUAAAGGGCGUGUAGGCGGGAAAGCAAGUCAGAUGUGAAAACCAUGGGCUCAACCUGUGGCCUGCAUUUGAAACUGUUUUUCUUGAGUGCUGGAGAGGCAGACGGAAUUCCUAGUGUAGCGGUGAAAUGCGUAGAUAUUAGGAGGAACACCAGGGGCGAAGGCGGUCUGCUGGACAGCAACUGACGCUGAUGCGCGAAAGCGUGGGGAGCAAACAGGAUUAGAUACCCGAGUAGUC